AUACAGAGGGUGCAAGCGUUAAUCGGAAUUACUGGGCGUAAAGGGUGCGUAGGUGGUUUGUUAAGUCAGGCGUGAAAUCCUCGGGCUCAACCUGGGAACUGCGCUUGAUACUGACAGACUUGAGUGUGGUAGAGGAUAGUGGAAUUCCCGGUGUAGCGGUGAAAUGCGUAGAUAUCGGGAGGAACAUCAGUGGCGAAGGCGGCUAUCUGGACUAACACUGACACUGAGGCACGAAAGCGUGGGUAGCAAACAGGAUUAGAUACCCUGGUAGUCCACGCCCUAAACGAUGGGUACUAGACGUCGGGAAGCUUGUCUUCUUGGUGUCGCAGCUAACGCAAUAAGUACCCCGCCUGGGGAGUACGGUCGCAAGAUUAAAACUCAAAGGAAUUGACGGGG
rnacentral:rRNA from 1 species